rnacentral:rRNA from 1 species
AACGAACGCUGGCGGCAUGCCUAACACAUGCAAGUCGAACGAGACCUUCGGGUCUAGUGGCGCACGGGUGCGUAACGCGUGGGAAUCUGCCCUAGGGUGCGGAAUAACUCGGAGAAAUCCGUGCUAAUACCGCAUAAUGUCUUCGGACCAAAGAUUUAUCGCCCUGGGAUGAGCCCGCGUAGGAUUAGCUAGUUGGUGGGGUAAAGGCCUACCAAGGCGACGAUCCUUAGCUGGUCUGAGAGGAUGAUCAGCCACACUGGGACUGAGACACGGCCCAGACUCCUACGGGAGGCAGCAGUGGGGAAUAUUGGACAAUGGGCGAAAGCCUGAUCCAGCAAUGCCGUGUGAGUGAUGAAGGCCCUAGGGUUGUAAAGCUCUUUUACCCGGGAUGAUAAUGACAGUACCGGGAGAAUAAGCUCCGGCUAACUCCGUGCCAGCAGCCGCCGCGGUAA